GUGCAAAGGUAGCAUAAUCAAUUGCCUUUUAAUUGAAGGCUAGUAUGAACGGAUAGACAAGAAUAGCCCUGUCUCACUCAGAAAUUGUAAACUGUCAUAGCGGUGCAAAGACCUCUAUAACCAUAAAAGACAAGAAGACCCUAUAGCGCUUUAUCUAUAAACAGCUUAACUAAUUUAUAGAAUUAGUUGGGAAAACUUAAAAUCAACAUAACCAUUUUAACUAAAUUACACCUCCUCUAAUGAAACCGAAAUCAGCCACCUUAGGGAUAACAGGCUAAUUCUGCUAAAGAGACCACAUUGACAGCAGAGAUUGGCACCUCGAUGUUGGCUUAGCGUAACUUAUGGGCGCAGCCGCCCAAACAGUUGGUUUGUUCAACCAUUAAACCGCUACGUGAUC
rnacentral:rRNA from 1 species